CUGUGAUGAUGGAUUCCAAAACCAUUCGUAGUUUCCACCAGAAAUCUUGUGUUGACCAGUUCCUUCCUUGGAUGUUUGAGCAA
rnacentral:snoRNA from 1 species